rnacentral:rRNA from 1 species
UACGGAGGAUACAAGCGUUAUCCGGAUUUAUUGGGUUUAAAGGGUGCGUAGGCGGUUUUUUAAGUCUGUAGUGAAAUAUUAAAGCUUAACUUUAAAAUUGCUAUUGAUACUGAAAAACUAGAGUUAGUUUGGAGUAGCUGGAAUGUGUGGUGUAGCGGUGAAAUGCAUAGAUAUCACACAGAACACCGAUCGCGAAAGCAAGUUACUAAGCCUAUACUGACGCUGAGGCACGAAAGCAUGGGUAGCAAACAGG